rnacentral:rRNA from 1 species
GACAGAGGGUGCUAGCGUUGUUCGGAAUUACUGGGCGUAAAGGGCGCGUAGGCGGUCGUGACAAGUCACUUGUGAAAUCUCCGGGCUUAACUCGGAACGGUCAAGUGAUACUGUCGGACUAGAGUACAGAAGGGGCAACUGGAAUUCUCGGUGUAGCGGUGAAAUGCGUAGAUAUCGAGAGGAACACCUGCGGCGAAGGCGGGUUGCUGGGCUGUGGCUGACGCUGAGGCGCGACAGCGUGGGGAGCAAACAGG